AUUGAACGCUGGCGGCAGGCCUAACACAUGCAAGUCGAGCGGAUGAGGGAAGCUUGCUUCCUGAUUUAGCGGCGGACGGGUGAGUAAUGCCUAGGAAUCUGCCUAUUAGUGGGGGAUAACGUUCCGAAAGGAACGCUAAUACCGCAUACGUCAUACGGGAGAAAGUGGGGGAUCUUCGGAAAUCACGCCAAUAGAUGAGCCUGGGUCGGAUUAGCUAGUUGGUGGGGUAACGGCUCACCAAGGCGACGAUCCGUAGCUGGUAUGAGAGGAUGAUCAGCCACACUGGAACUGAGACAAGGUCCAGACUCCUACGGGAGGCAGCAGUGGGGAAUAUUGGACAAUGGGCGAAAGCCUGAUCCAGCCAUGCCGCGUGUGUGAAGAAGGUCUUCGGAUUGUAAAGCACUUUAAGUUGGGAGGAAGAGUUGUAAGCUAAUAUCUUGCAGCUUUGACGUUACCAACAGAAUAAGCACCGGCUAACUCUGUGCCAGCCGCCGCCGUAACAC
rnacentral:rRNA from 1 species